rnacentral:rRNA from 1 species
UACGGCUCAGUAACACGUAGCUAAUCUACCCUUAGGCUGAGGAUACCCUCGGGAAACUGAAGUUAACACUCAAUAGAAGAUAUACCCUGGAAUGAUUUAUCUUUGAACUAAGGAUGAGGCUGCGGCAGAUUAGGUUGUUGGCGGGGUAAUAGCCCACCAAGCCAAAGAUCUGUAAGGGCUCUUAGCGGAGAGGCCCUGAGAGGGAAUCUGAGACACCAUUCCCAGCCCUACGGGGUGCAGCAGUUAGGAAUAAUCUACAAUGCGCGCAAGCGUGAUAGUUUGAGCCAGAGUGCUUUCCAAUUGGAAAGCUUUUAUGGAAUGUAAAAAGUUUCAUGAAUAAGGACUGGGUAAGACUAGUGCCAGCCGCCGCGGUAAUACUAGCGGUCCAAGUUGCAGCCAUUUUUAUUGGGUCUAAAACAUCCGUAGCUUGCUUGAUAAGUUUCUUGUGAAAUUUUAUAUCUUAAAUAUAGAGCGUGCAAGAAGUACUGUUAAGCUAGAGACUGGAAGACGUAAGAAGUAUGUUCAGAGUAGCGGUCAUAUGUGUUGAUCCUGGACAGACUAACAAUAGCGAAGGCAUCUUACGAGGACAGUUCUGACAGUAAGGGAUGAAGGCUAGGGGCGCAAAGGGGAUUAGAUACCCCCGUAGUCCUAGCAGUAAACACUGUACACUAAACAUCAGUACCUCUUCGAGAGGUAUUGGUGCUGUAGCGAAGGCGAAGAGUGUACUACCUGGGAAGUAUAGUCGCAAGGCCGAAACUUAAAGGAAUUGGCGGA